ACUGAAGCUAGGAGAGCUUAAGUCACUCGACCCAGCGGCGAAGGCUGGGACUUGAACCCGGGCCUGACCCGAAAGCCGGCGCUCUAGAGGGCUAGGACGAUUUAAACAGAAACACAUCUAGAGACCAAGCGGCUGUGUUACGAAGGGAAGAUUAGGUGUUCCCUGCACCUCUGUCCCAGCACUUAAAUGUCGUCGCACGGUCUCUUUUUUCAAGCAGAGUUUUACAAGUUUCUGGCCUGAAAACCCCCGUCCCUCUCCAUCCCCACAGUGGACUCCUCAGGUCCUCAGCCCUCACCUGGCCCGGUCAAGAUCCGGACCUGACCAUCUCUCGCAGCCUCAGAGAAGCCCAGACCGAGGGAAGUGAAGCCUCACGGUAAAAACAACCAACCGCCGUGGGCUCCUGGACCUUCUUGGCCCGCCCCCCGAGCUUCCGCUUCCGGAAAGGAUCACGCGGAAGGCCGCUCUUUAUAGUCUCCGACACACCUCCACGCCCUUUUCUCCUGCUCUAGGCCCAGCGCCUUGGACGUGCACAGUAGAGGCUUCCCGGCUUCCCGGCUUUUUCCCGGCUUCUUCCCGGCUUCUUCCCGGCUUCUUCCCGGCUUCCCGGCUCGUCACCCUCUGGCAGGAGGUCUCUAAACCACGCUAGUGGCUGACAUUCUUCACUGCAACCCGAGAGCCACCACCUUCUCCCCAAGUGUCUCCCAUGCGCGCACAACAGGUGGCCCUUGCCGAGGGAUUGUUCCUGCUGUCACCGCUGCUCACUGAGAAGCCAAAAGGAGGGAAGUCUAGAAGUAACAGAGAGCUCCACCAGCAGGUUCCAAACACAGAUUUGUAGAAUCUAAGAAGGGACAAUUCUGAGCCCAUUGAGCCCUUAUAGGAACAUAAGAAUGUCCAGCCCUAAAAACUAAAAACAAGCUACCUGUGAAAACCCCUUGUGAUGUUCUGUUUUAUAUCAAUGAAUGGAACUUGUGAUUCCAUUACAAAUAUCCAGCCCUCAAAAAUAAAAACAAGCAAUCUGUGAAAUCCUUUGUUAUUUAAUGUUUUUUUAU